rnacentral:rRNA from 1 species
GGAAUAUUGGGCAAUGGGCGAAAGCCUGACCCAGCCACGCCGCGUGCAGGAUGACACCCCUAUGGGGCGUAAACUGCUUUUAUACGAGAAGAACCCCCCGAACGUGUUCGGGGCUGACGGUACCGUAUGAAUAAGGACCGGCUACCUCCGUGCCAGCAGCCGCGGUAAUACGGGGGGUCCAAGCGUUGUCCGGCUUUAUUGGGUGUAAAGGGUGUGUAGGCGGGUUUGCAAGUCAGAGGUGAAAGCCUGCGGCUCAACCGUAGAAUUGCCUCUGAUACUGCAGGUCUUGAGUCCUGGAGAGGUUGUCGGAAUUCGUGGUGUAGCGGUGAAAUGCGUAGAUAUCACGAGGAACACCGGUUACGAAGGUGGGCAACUGGACAGGUACUGACGCUGAGGCACGAAAGCGUGGGUAGCAAAC